GAUUUCUGGUAUGGCGCAUUUGGCCCGCUUCGGUUACGGAGUUGAGUGCCGUUUUGCGCCUGCCAUCCUUCUGGAAUACGACUCUCCCUUCAUUGGGUUGGGCCGGAAUCCAGAUCAUUUACUUUGAAAAAAUUAGAGUGUUUAAAGCAGGCUUACGCUAUGAAUACAUUAGCAUGGAAUAAUAAUUUAGGACUUUGGUCUUAUUUUGUUGGUUUCUAGGACUAAAGUAAUGAUUGAUAGGGAUAGUUGGGGGUGCUAGUAUUCAGCGGCCAGAGGUGAAAUUCUUGGAUUCGCUGAAGACUAACUUAUGCGAAAGCAUU
rnacentral:rRNA from 2 species